rnacentral:lncRNA from 1 species
GGAGUAUUAUAUAAGUAUAUAUAUAUAAUAUAUAUGUCUAUAUAUAUAAUAUAAUAUAAGUAUAAUCUUAAGGAAACUAAGCCUAGUUUCACACAGCUACAAAGUAUCUGCAGGAUUUGAACUUGUCUUCAAAUCCAGCAUCCUGUCUACUGUUCCACCUAGGUAAGAUCUAUGUGGCAUUUAAAAGUUUGCAAAGCAUAUUAAAAAUAUUGUCUCAUUUGAUCUUCACAGAAAUUUUGGGAGGUGUUAUCAUUACACUCAUUUUAGAGAUGAAGAAACUGAGACAAAGGAGGUGAAAGGAUUUCAUCAGGGUCAUACUACAUCCAAGAGAAUAAAAGGAAGUAGAACAAGACUCCCAAUAAACCAAGGCAAAUGGAAAUCCAGUGCUCCUUCUCCACUGUGCCACGCUUGAAUGAAUGGCUAAGAAGUAUAAAGAGACUAUGGGAAAGUCUUUUACUCUCACAAUACUCCCAAGCAGCUAUGUAAGUCUAUAAAUUACAGAUGACUUGACAACAUGCAUUGGUAAAGUCUCCACACUAAGCUUUCCACAUAAAGAUGAGAUUGGAAGGGAGGAAAAAAUGAUCAUUGUUUUAAAUUCUGGUAGUAGUAGUUAAUUGGUUGUUGUAUCUAUUGUUAUGGUUGUUUUCAGUAGCCAUUUGGUCACUGGCUCUUCCCAACAAAGAAAUAUUGAGACAUAC